ensembl:lncRNA
UUUUUUUUUUUUUUUUGAUAAACUAUUUACAUUUUCAGACUUUAAAACAUAUUCAAAGCAGCAAUAGACACUAGUUUUUCCUCUACACGCCCAAAUAAUUACCGGCCAUGGGCCCAGGUAGGUACCUGCAUUGUAUAUAGAAUUUCUACAAAGAAAACCUGCCUGUUAAAUUAGCCAGUGGGUGUCCAACAAACAGCCCCCGCCAUUAAGAGCUGCACCCACAGUGUUGCUAUAGGAAUCAAAGCAUAGUACCUAGACAAGAGAGUUUCAGUUGUCCCAACAGCUCUACACAAACUUUACAAUUUGAAACAGCAGCUAGCAUGUCAGUCCAGCAUGUCAGUGAAUUGUGCUGAUUAAAUUAACAUAGAGUACAAUCUCACAAUAUACAUCACAAACAAAUUACAAUGUCAGGAAAUAAGAGUUACAGUAAGAUAAGUUAUGUAGUAACAGCUUAUAAGCUUGUCUUAAUGUAAUAAAAAAAUUUGUACAUGGGAAAUACAAUAAUGAAUGAACAUAAAUGCUAAGCAUACUAUUUUGCUACAAGCUGAAGAAGGGUACAAAAAAAAACAACAUUGCUUUCUAGAAAGCAAAACACAAAUGACAAAGGAAGACAAACGGAGAAUGCACACUAGCAGGUCUGCAAUGUGCAGCAUACAAACAGUUAAAUAUUUGCACAUUCCCCAUAAUCCAGGAGCACCAAGGACCUCACUUGUGGUUUUUAGAAAGCGGAAAUUACAAAGCAAGCCAUGUCACUAAGUUGCUUUAUAGCUUUCAUAUUGCCAUAAAUAUCAAUUUGAUAAGUUUUCCUUUAGCCCAGUUCACCCUACCCCACCCCCUUUUUACCCAGUGUGUGAAAUCUCAGAAUACUUCUUUGUCACCAUUUCCAGCAAAUCUGGUAUUAAAAAAAAAAAGGGCAAUGGAUUAAAACGAAAUAUAUUUGCAUAUACCUAUAUCUUAUUUUCUUUUUCCUCCUUUAGUAGGACAUUACAGCAUAUCAAAAAUGUAGUUUGAUCUGAGAAAAAUCACAGAUAUUAAUGGGUCAUAUAAAAAAAGGUUUGGGGGAAGUUGUUUUUUAAAGCAAAAGAGUAAGUGUUUUGUCAAAGAUCAGAUGAGGUCAUAUAAUAUUAUUCUUUUAAAAGAACAUGCUUAAAACGCUAUCAUACAUUCUGCUGGCUGCAUCUCCAGUGCAGUUGUUCACACUGUGGCCCUGAUCAGCAAAGAUUGCCCUACUUAACGCCAACGUUCUACUGGUCCUCGUGACCACCACAGAAGUACUAACGUGCUUAAAAUUAAGCAAGUAGAUAAGUGUUUUGCUGAGGGAGGGUGGGGGUGUUAAUCAUGUUGUAUGCUUUGCUAGGAGAUGAUUUUUGAAAUGCCACGCCUUUGAUAUGACCAAAAAACGAAACCAGAAAGCCAACCCAGUGAGAGGACCGCAGUUCAGGUUGCAUUGGGUGGAGGCUGUGUUUAUGCUCAAAGCAGUAGCUGUCCUCAGCUGACUGCUGCAUACGUUGCAAUGCCGCUGUUUGUUUUGCAUUCCCAACCCCGAGCAGUCCCGUCCUUUGCCCUCCCCCUGCCUCGUGCUGCACCUGAGUACGCUGAUUUAGGAGCACAUUGUGAUCCCGUGUAUUCCCAGCAGGCAGUUUCAUGAACUAAACGGUGACACCCGAACACAUGUAUCAACCAGAACUAGGCUAUUUCAUCAGUCGUACCUCCAUGUAAACCUGAACCCCGUUUCAUGGAAUAGGAAGUGAACUAUACUAGCUCAUAUCAGACAGUUUCAGGAGUGUUCUUCUCUUGAGAACAAGCACUUAAAAUUUUUCCAAAAAGAAAGUAUACUGUAUCUGUAUUAAUUAAAUAAGCUGUUCAUUCGUGGAGAAAAUAGUAUUAGUGUAUUUGUGCAUGACCUGAAUGGAGUUGCUAUUUUUUUCAGUCAGAGUUAUUAAGAGAGACUCAAACACAACAUUUAAAGAGCAAUUCUGAAAGUCCUGUUUGUGUUUUGUGUGAACCUUUUCCCCUGACAUUACAGCCUAACGUAACAAUAGUGUGAUUUACUUAAUGUCAAAAAUAAAGAUUUGAUUUUACUAAGUCUUGAUUGCAUUGCAAGGGCCAUCUUAUUCAUGACAGUCUCUCCAGGGGUAUGCUUUUGACUUCCAAAUGCCAUUCUUGUUAAGAACUAAAACAUUUAAUCAGUUUUACUUGGAUUCAGAAAACAAACUGUGUUUCCUAUCAGCUGUAUCUGCAAUUUGGUGUGUUUCAUGUAUCAACUUUCUAAAACAAGAAAAAAGUAUUCUGUGUUUGUGGGAUAUGCUAUCAAAAAUCAGUGAGAGCACAAGUGAGGCAUCUUGCUGUCCCAGCUACAGGUUCACAAUACUGCGCUCACACUGCGGGUGUAAAUUCAGCAUCUACAUGAGGUACAGUGACUUGUCAGCAUUUAAUAUGGACCAACAUACACUGAUAUAGAACAAAAGUAAAUACAUAACUUAUACUUCACUAAGUAUCCAUGAACAAAAAAUAAAAUUCUAUUUCCUAUGUUAUAUUUACACAAUUUAAAAAAAAAAAAAUCUAAAAUGAGAUGGUAAAUUCAUCAAAAACUUUGUUUUGAGCUCCGAUUAAUAAAGUAAAAAAGUUGUUUUUUAUCCUUAUGAUUGUCCUUCCUUCUACUGACAUUUUAGAGCCAAUGUCGGCUAAUAAAUAGAAUAAAAUGCUCAUAUGCACAAUUCAAAUUCAAAUAUGUUCCUCCCAUUUCCCCAGCCAAUAAAUGCAAUUUUUACCAGCUGGCGAUUCCUGAACAGCCAGUCAUUUUCAAGAAUGUGGCUUUAACAUAGAGAGCAUCAGCACUGAGGCAGGGCUGGAGCUAAAACAAAGUGUUCAUACAUACAUGUAUUUUGCAUAAAUAAAUGAAAUAACAAGACAUAAAAAUGACUCAAAUCCGGCAACUGUGAGGCAGGCCCACACGAGUCGAAACAGAUGACUUUUGUUCAUGUAGUUUUCGUACAACAGUUUCACAUUAGUCAGAAGUGAUAAAAAAUACCAUUUAUAUCCAGUGCUUAUAACACUUACGAAACAACAUCUGUGAGUGUGUGUUUUUUUGUACUACAAGCAAAAUCAAGUUUCAGUCCUAAAGAACAGUCCUUUGUUCUCCACAAGCCUGCAGAAUAUUAUUUUGGCAUGGUCAUAAAAUUUAAAAAAAAAUUAACCAACUAAUCUAAAUGUUUGCCUUUGUGCAAAAAAAAAAAAAAAAUCAUUACAUAAAAUACAAUACUAGCAAUACAGCAUUCUACCAAUGCAACAAAACCAGAAAAAAAAAAAAAAAA